rnacentral:rRNA from 1 species
UACGGGGGGGGUAAGCGUUGUUCGGAAUUACUGGGCGCAAAGGGCUCGUAGGCGGCCAACUAAGUCAUACGUGAAAUCCCUCAGCUUAACUGGGGAACUGCGUGUGAUACUGGAUGGCUUGGAUUUGGGAGAGGGAUGCGGAAUUCCAGGUGUAGCGGUGAAAUGCGUAGAUAUCUGGAGGAACACCGGUGGCGAAGGCGGCAUCCUGGACCAAUAUUGACGCUGAGGAGCGAAAGCCAGGGGAGCAAACGGG